GCAGCUGUAUUUUCACGUAUGGUACAAAGAUUCUGAUUCAAGACCGCAAAACAAUAACAAGAAAAGAAAACAAAGGAUAAGCCAUAAACAAUAGAAAAGAAAAUGGAUAUACAGAACUUACCUUACCUGAUGAUCGAUUUGUUUUUAGGAUCCUACAGCGCUAACAAGGAAAAGGGAAAGAACAUAGAAGGCUAAAGAAAGAAAGAAAUAGAGGUGGCUUUCCAAGUAAAUAUGGAUGCUUAUACAGUUCUUACUUCAAAAGCCUGGGCUUUAUGUGAAUCUGAUAUAAGCUCAUUAAAUUAAGAUAAUCCAGUAAUGAUCGAUCUUCUACUUCACUGCAUGGAUUCAUUAUCUUGUUCUACUUCAGAUGCAGGUUCAUCUUCUUCUUCAAAUCCAUCUAUGCCAUAGGCCGCAUGGCCAUUCCCAAAAGCCUUAAUGUGGUCUUUAAGUGAUCUCUUGUGCUUAAAAUCAGAUCCACAAAUACAAUACCAAAGCUUCCCACAGUUCUUCUCAUGGGUUCUCCAAUCUCCCCUCACUGCGAAAGCCUUACUGCAUUUCCUACACAUGAAAGGCUUAAUUCCAUGCUUUCUCCUGUAAUGUGUUUGAAGGGUUCUAAAAUCUUUAAGUGGCUUGGCUCUAGGGUGAUCAAUAUUGUUCCUGCACCCAGGAGCACAGCAAUAGCAAGGAAGCCUAAGCAUUCCCGUGGGUUGAGUUCCUCUGAGAGAUUCAGGCCCUUUUCUGUACUGAGAUCCAUGCCCCCACAUAUGCAUCUGCAUGUUGUUGUAUCUAUUGAAGGUUUUGCAGCAAACAGGACAUGAGAACUGAGUAGGACCAAUCAGAAUCUGGGUAGGGGUAGGGAUCCAAUACUGACCCUUAUUGAGCCUGCUAAAGGGGAACCCAGAAUCAUCACCAUCUCCAUCUUUGUCAGUGACCUCCGAGGAAGAAGACAACACAGAGGCCAUCUCUGCAGCACUAGGGCUUGGCAAGCCUAUAUGCAGUGCAACAGUAACAGUCUCAUCUUCAUUGGUAGCACCAGCAUCAGCAUUAGAAGAAAAAAAGCUCCCAUGAUCUACUUUGGCCUUAUUAUUGUUGAUUUUGUCCACAUCCAUAGCAGUGCAACUUAUUUGUUCUUGAUCUUCAUCUUCAUCUUCUUGUUCUUGGUCUUUCUCAGCAUCCCUUUCUGGACUUAACCUCAAGAGGGGUAGGGCUUCUCUGAGAGGAGGAGAAGGAGGUCGGUUUUGACAGUGAAAAUAAGGAGUCUGAAUUUGGUUGGUGGUAAAGGGAUUUGUAUAGGAAAGUUGUGGAUUAGUACUCGCUGGUGUUGGAUUCAGAGAUGGGUAUUGGUGAUAAAGAGGGUUAUUAUUGAACUUGAACCAACCAGUGAAGAAAUUUGAGUAAGGGUCAGCCAUGGUUGAAAAGGUGUGAGAGGAAUAGUUUAGCUUGGUGGAUUUGCUU
rnacentral:misc_RNA from 1 species